GACGAACGCUGGCGGCGUGCCUAAUACAUGCAAGUAGAACGCUGAAGCUUGGUGCUUGCACCGAGCGGAUGAGUUGCGAACGGGUGAGUAACGCGUAGGUAACCUGCCUGGUAGCGGGGGAUAACUAUUGGAAACGAUAGCUAAUACCGCAUAAGAGUAGAUGUUGCAUGACAUUUGCUUAAAAGGUGCAAUUGCAUCACUACCAGAUGGACCUGCGUUGUAUUAGCUAGUUGGUGAGGUAACGGCUCACCAAGGCAACGAUACAUAGCCGACCUGAGAGGGUGAUCGGCCACACUGGGACUGAGACACGGCCCAGACUCCUACGGGAGGCAGCAGUAGGGAAUCUUCGGCAAUGGACGGAAGUCUGACCGAGCAACGCCGCGUGAGUGAAGAAGGUUUUCGGAUCGUAAAGCUCUGUUGUAAGAGAAGAACGAGUGUGAGAGUGGAAAGUUCACACUGUGGCGGUAUCUUACCAGAAAGGGACGGCUAACUACGUG
rnacentral:rRNA from 1 species